ACUCCUACGGGAGGCAGCAGUGGGGAAUAUUGCACAAUGGGGAAACCCUGAUGCAGCCAUGCCGCGUGUGUGAAGAAGGCCUUCGGUUGUAAAGCACUUUCAGUCGUGAGGAAGGUAGUGUAGUUAAUAGCUGCAUUAUUUGACGUUAGCGACAGAAGAAGCACCGGCUAACUCCGUGCCAGCAGCCGCGGUAAUACGGAGGUGCGAGCGUUAAUCGGAAUUAACUGGGCGUAAAGCGCAUGCAGGUGGUUUGUUAAGUCAGAUGUGAAAGCCCGGGGGCUCAACCUCGGAAUUGCAUUUGAAACUGGCAGGCUAGAGUCGUUGUAGAGGGGGUAGAAUUUCAGGUGUAGCGGUGAAAUGCGUAGAGAUCUGAAGGAAUACCAGUGGCGAAGGCGGCCCCCUGGACAAGACUGACGCUCAGAUGCGAAAGCGUGGGGAGCAAACAGGAUUAGAUACCCUGGUAGGAUAGCG
rnacentral:rRNA from 1 species